AUGGAGAGCACUAGCAAGGUUCUCGUGUUCUUUGGCCUUCUGGUUUUCCUGCAGGUGUGGUGCGCUGCGGGGAAUGUCUAUGACAUCCCAGCGGUGAUGUCCUUGAAUGGAUUCCAGCAGGGAGAGGAGGGCGGGCCAGCGAGGUGCGACGGCCAGUACCACAGCGACGACCUCUUCCUGGUUUCCAUGACUUCGAAGUGGUACGGGCCUGGCCUCCGGUGCGGCAAGAUGAUCACCAUCAAAAGCUCGGGCGGGAUCGUGCAGGCCAUGGUGGUGGACGAUUGCGAGGACGGUUGUGGCGACAACGAGAUCAGCACAUCAGCCGCCGUGUGGGGGGUCUUGGGGCUCGACCCCAGUAUCGGCGAGGUGCCCGUCACCUGGUCGGAUGUCUAA
rnacentral:rRNA from 1 species